rnacentral:rRNA from 1 species
GACGAACCCUUGAGGCGUGCUUAACACAUGCAAGUCGAACGGAAAGGCCCUGCUUUUGUGGGGUGCUCGAGUGGCGAACGGGUGAGUAACACGUGAGUAACCUGCCCUUGACUCUGGGAUAACUUCAGGAAACUGGGGCUAAUACCGGAUAGGAGCUCCUGCUGCAUGGUGGGGGUUGGAAAGUUUCGGCGGUUGGGGAUGGACUCGCGGCUUAUCAGCUCGUUGGUGGGGUAGUGGCUUACCAAGGCUUUGACGGGUAGCCGGCCUGAGAGGGUGACCGGCCACAUUGGGACUGAGAUACGGCCCAGACUCCUACGGGAGGCAGCAGUGGGGAAUAUUGCACAAUGGGCGGAAGCCUGAUGCAGCAACGCCGCGUGCGGGAUGACGGCCUUCGGGUUGUAAACCGCUUUCGCCUGUGACGAAGCGUGAGUGACGGUAAUGGGUAAAGAAGCACCGGCUAACUACGUGCCAGCAGCCGCGGUGAUACGUAGGGUGCGAGCGUUGUCCGGAUUUAUUGGGCGUAAAGGGCUCGUAGGUGGUUGAUCGCGUCGGAAGUGUAAUCUUGGGGCUUAACCCUGAGCGUGCUUUCGAUACGGGUUGACUUGAGGAAGGUAGGGGAGAAUGGAAUUCCUGGUGGAGCGGUGGAAUGCGCAGAUAUCAGGAGGAACACCAGUGGCGAAGGCGGUUCUCUGGGCCUUUCCUGACGCUGAGGAGCGAAAGCGUGGGGAGCGAACAGGCUUAGAUACCCUGGUAGUCCACGCUGUAAACGGUGGGUACUAGGUGUGGGGUCCAUUCCACGGGUUCCGUGCCGUAGCUAACGCUUUAAGUACCCCGCCUGGGGAGUACGGCCGCAAGGCUAAAACUCAAAGGAAUUGACGGGGCCCCGCACAAGCGGCGGAGCAUGCGGAUUAAUUCGAUGCAACGCGUAGAACCUUACCUGGGUUUGACAUGGAUCGGGAGUGCUCAGAGAUGGGUGUGCCUCUUUUGGGGUCGGUUCACAGGUGGUGCAUGGCUGUCGUCAGCUCGUGUCGUGAGAUGUUGGGUUAAGUCCCGCAACGAGCGCAACCCCUGUUCACUGUUGCCAGCACGUUAUGGUGGGGACUCAGUGGAGACCGCCGGGGUCAACUCGGAGGAAGGUGGGGAUGACGUCAAGUCAUCAUGCCCCUUAUGUCCAGGGCUUCACGCAUGCUACAAUGGCUGGUACAGAGAGUGGCGAGCCUGUGAGGGUGAGCGAAUCUCGGAAAGCCGGUCUCAGUUCGGAUUGGGGUCUGCAACUCGACCUCAUGAAGUCGGAGUCGCUAGUAAUCGCAGGUCAGCAACGCUGCGGUGAAUACGUUCCCGGGGCU